CUAUUUUUAAGACUGAUUUAGGUAUGUCACUUGUAUCAUUGUUUCUUUGUAUUAGACAGUCACAAUGUAUAGAGACAUCCACACAAACAUACUACAGCUGCAUAAUAUAGAAUUACUAGACUAGUUUAAUUUCCAUAAUAGUUUUUAUUUUGUUUUGAUCAACUUUCGAUUCAGUUCUUUUAUUGAAUAUGUUCGAACACGUUGAUUGUUUUACUUUAUUCACCUAUUUUAACAUUUUUUUAUGUUCCCUUCGAGUUUGUAUGGAAGUCUGUCUAUUUUUUCUUUUUGUUUUUAGUAAAUUUUUCUUUAUGAUAUUUUUGUUAUAACACAAGAAAAAUAUAUCGAUCGUUGAAUGUAUUUACCGUGUACAUGUUUACUGAUCUUUACUAAGUAAACACAGUUGAGCAGUAUAAUAUGUUUUAAUUGCAAAAAGUGAUACAGUCAGCAUCAAUUGAUUUGUGGUUGCCUAUAUCGUCCUGCAAAUAUUUUGUACAUGUCCAACGAGAAAAAAAUUACAACAAAUACAAGUAUGUAAUUUAGAAUGUGAGACAUUCCAGUAUUCAGUGUUAUACAUGUUAUAUACGAAAUAUGUUUCUUUAAUAUAUUUUAAAUUUCAAUACUGGUUUGCUAAAAAAAAGCUUUUUUAAAAUCAUUUGAAAGAUAAAGUUUCAUAAAAUCGUGAUGCGAAUAUAACAUGUAUAAAAGGAAACCAGGUGCACUGGUGUAUAUUUACACGAGGAAUCAUUUAUCUAGAACAUUCUGUUAAUAAGUCAAAUUAUCGUCCCUAGUUUACAAACAUUUAAUCAUGUGACCAUUUAUCUUCCUUUUCCAAAGAAAUAUUCUAUUUAUACAUGUAAGACGUAUUUAGAAAUGUAUCAUUGUGUCUUUGUUUUAUACAGUCACAAUUUACACAGACUCCACACAAAUACACACUUCAACUGAAAAGUCUACAAUUACUUUAAUUACUAUAAUGUUUCUUAUUUUAUUUUGAUCAACUUUAGAUUCAAUUCUUUUAUUGAAUACGUUUAAACACGUUGAAUGAUUUACUAUAUUUACAUGUACCAAUGUGGCCUAUAUUUUAACAUUUUUUUAUGUUCAUGUUUACUAAGUACACACAGUUGAUCAGUACAAUAUGUUUUAAUUGUCAAAAACUAUAUACAUGCAUUAUAAAUUGAUUUUUGGUAUGCCGAUAUUCUCCGGUGGCAAAUAUUUCGUGCAUGUCCAACGAAAAAAAUUAACAAUAAAUACAGGUAUAUAAUUAAGAAGGGGAGACAUUUCAAUAUUUCAGUGUGUUUAUGUAUGCAAUACGUUUUUUUUUUGUUUUUUUUCUAAAUUUCAAUACAGUUUUUCUAAAAAAAAAAAAAAAAAAAAAAGUUUCACAUCUGCCACAAUGACCCACGAUUAUUACGUCAAAAUUCAGGUAUGGUGGUUUAGACUUGCACCAACUGUUUUAUAUAUUGAUAUUGUCAUCUAUAUUUCUCCCUCCAGGAUGUGAAAGCCAUGUUCAGGUGAAAAACGUGCGGUAUGUAUUAAUAUACUACGCCAAGUUCGACAGAAAUAGGGAAAUUAAAUACAUGUAGCAUCAGUUGUGGGGUCUGUAGACAAUCUGUUUCGAGGCUACAUAGCCGUAGCGUAUCCUCUUUUUCAAAUAUACAUUCAAUUAUGGGCUGGUAAUCCUUAUCCAUCAUAUUAUAGGUCCUUCAAUUUCCUGUUUUGAUUUAAUUUAAUUGCGCUCGACUUGAACACGCUUACAAUACUAAUAUUUUUUAUUUGCAUGUUUUGGUGGGAAGUUAAUGUUACUCUAGAAUCUGUCAGUUAAAUGACCAUUUUAGAUUUUAGAUAACGAUUUGAAUAGUAUGAUAAAGUUUUAAUUUAAGAGCAUACAAUCUAUUUUGCAGGAUUAUGGCCACCAAUUGGGGUAUUUGUGGUGUUUGUGAAAACCUUCAGAUUACCAAACCUUCAGUAGUAUGGUGUUCCGAAUGUGACGAAGGACUAUGUGGAGAGUGUAAGAAACAUCAUGCAGUUUCCAAGGGAACAAAAAGCCAUGAAACCGUUUCUAUCGCCGAAUACAAAAACUUACCCACCGAAGUCCUGCAAAUCUCUCAGACCUGCAAACUUCAUAAUGAGAAAUACGAGCUGUUCUGUACAAAACACGAUUGUCCAUGCUGUAAAAAAUGUGUGAAAUCUCACAACGAUUGUAAAGGUUUAACUGACAUUAAUGAACUCAUAAAAAACGUCAAAACUUCAAACGCAUUAAAUGAAAUCGAACAAACCGUGCAGGAAGUCGUCGAGAAUAUUAAACGACUAAGCACGAACAGGAAUGAAAAUUUAAAAUCUAUAGAAAACAAGAAAAGAGAAAUUGAAGCAGAAAUAAAACAAACCAGGAUACAAGUAAAUCACCACCUUGAUAAACUUCAGGAUGACUUAAUUAAAGAAUUACUGAGAGUUGAACAACACGAAAAAAGCAAAAUAGAAAACUUGCUGACUACUCUGAAAAAAAAGGAAAAAGAGAUGACUGAAGUACAAGAAAACUUUGUCACUAUUAAACAACAUGCGUCCGAACUUCAAACAUUUUUAACCAUGAAAGAUAUCGAAAAAUAUAUUGUAGGUGACGAAAAGUGUAUUCAAUCGAUUACUACGAGUGACUCCACACAUCAAGUCAAUAUUUCAUGUCAGAUUAAUAAGUCUUUACAGCAAAUAACAGCCAACGUGCAGAAGUUUGGAGAAAUUAAUGUCAAUUCUGAUCCAUGUGAUUUUUCCGUUCAGAAAAGGAAGGACAGACAAGCCCAGAUUAUGGUAGCUCUUCCAACCAAAAAUAUCGAUAACCUGACUCUGACAUUACAGAAACGUAUCAAUACAAAGUUGUCAGGUGUCUUUGGCUGUUCACUGCUUCCUGAUUGUAGGAUGGUAUUCUCCUCUUUAAGUGACGAUAAAAUAAGAGUAUUUAAGUCUGACGGAUCAAAAGAUUUCGAAAUAAAGGACAUUGGUAAAACGUUUGAUGUGGUAUUUAUUGGUGAUGAUUCUAUUGCUGUUACAUCCGGCGAGUCAAAAAAGAUUAAUAUAAUCGACUUAAAGACCCACAAACUGAAGAAAUCGAUAAAAGUUGAUUCAUACACUGGUGGAGUAACAUACAAAAAUGGACAUUUAAUAUAUUGUGCCAAGAGAAAAAGGAAUACAGAUGCUCAGUUUAAAUAACGGAACCAUUACCAAUGUGAGCAGUACCAAACUCCCAGAAUUUGCGUACGUAACAACAUUCGGUGAAAAACUGAUCUACACAAAAAGGACAAUAACAGUGUAACCUGCUGUGACUACCAUGGUAACAUACUGUGGACGUUCUGUGAUAAAAGUGCUUUGCGAUUUCCAGUAGGUAUAUCUGUAGACAAUGAUGGUAACGUGUAUGUAGCGGGGUAUUUUACUAACAACGUUGUCGUUAUCUCUCCUGAUGGACAGCGCUGCAGACAAAUUCUCACACGUGAAGAUGGACUUAUACAGACCCAUGGACUCUGCAUUAUGACACGUCUACAAAUAAAUUGUUAGUUGUUAAUUAUAAUGAAUUCAAUGAAGCAUUUUUGUAUGAUGUUAAAUGAUUAGAAAUGAGGAGUGAUUUUUCCAGAAUUGAAAUUUAUUAUUUGUUGAUCUCGAUUACUAACAUCAUUUAAAAGGAAUAAUACUAAUUUUGUGUGAUCUAAUUUAGAUUUGUUUAAAGUUAUUUUUUAGUGUUACUAACUGGCUGUUUCUGUUUUGGCCCCAUCAUAGAUUCGAGUUUAUCUGUAUUGAACCCGAAUCCUGAAGACAGCUUAUCGAGAAUCUAGAGACAAAUAUUAGAGAAAAUAUUAACUACUUAGGAUUCAUUAUAAUAAAAUUAACGGUACCAA
rnacentral:lncRNA from 1 species